CGAGUGCCCCGAGCGUUAUCCGGAAUUAUUGGGCGUAAAGGGUGUGUAGGUGGCCGCGUUAGUCUUCUGUUAAAGCUCCCGGCUUAACCGGGAAAAUGCAGAGGAAACGGCGCGGCUAGAGGAUGUGAGAGGUUUGCGGAACUCAUGGUGUAGGGGUGAAAUCCGUUGAUAUCAUGGGGAACACCGAAAGCGAAGGCAGCAAACUGGCGCAUUCCUGACACUGAAACACGAAAGCGUGGGUAGCGAAGAGGAUUAGAUACCCUCGUAGUCCACGCCCUAAACGAUCUUCUCUGGCUAUUUGGAGUAUCGACCCUCUAAGUGGCGAAGCUAACGCGUUAAGAGAAGCGCCUGGGUAGUACGAUCGCAAGAUUA
rnacentral:rRNA from 1 species